UUUUACCAGGGCGGGCUCCCCGCCCUCGGCAGCAAGCGAAGGUGUCGUUGACACCCGUGGCAUGGCUCCCCGGCUAUGCCACGUUUUCUUUUA
rnacentral:ncRNA from 1 species